CAAGUCGAACGAACUCUGGUAUUGAUUGGUGCUUGCAUCAUGAUUUACAUUUGAGUGAGUGGCGAACUGGUGAGUAACACGUGGGAAACCUGCCCAGAAGCGGGGGAUAACACCUGGAAACAGAUGCUAAUACCGCAUAACAACUUGGACCGCAUGGUCCGAGCUUGAAAGAUGGCUUCGGCUAUCACUUUUGGAUGGUCCCGCGGCGUAUUAGCUAGAUGGUGGGGUAACGGCUCACCAUGGCAAUGAUACGUAGCCGACCUGAGAGGGUAAUCGGCCACAUUGGGACUGAGACACGGCCCAAACUCCUACGGGAGGCAGCAGUAGGGAAUCUUCCACAAUGGACGAAAGUCUGAUGGAGCAACGCCGCGUGAGUGAAGAAGGGUUUCGGCUCGUAAAACUCUGUUGUUAAAGAAGAACAUAUCUGAGAGUAACUGUUCAGGUAUUGACGGUAUUUAACCAGAAAGCCACGGCUAACUACGUGCCAGCAGCCGCGGUAAUACGUAGGUGGCAAGCGUUGUCCGGAUUUAUUGGGCGUAAAGCGAGCGCAGGCGGUUUUUUAAGUCUGAUGUGAAAGCCUUCGGCUCAACCGAAGAAGUGCAUCGGAAACUGGGAAACUUGAGUGCAGAAGAGGACAGUGGAACUCCAUGUGUAGCGGUGAAAUGCGUAGAUAUAUGGAAGAACACCAGUGGCGAAGGCGGCUGUCUGGUCUGUAACUGACGCUGAGGCUCGAAAGUAUGGGUAGCAAACAGGAUUAGAUACCCUGGUAGUCCAUACCGUAAACGAUGAAUGCUAAGUGUUGGAGGGUUUCCGCCCUUCAGUGCUGCAGCUAACGCAUUAAGCAUUCCGCCUGGGGAGUACGGCCGCAAGGCUGAAACUCAAAGGAAUUGACGGGGGCCCGCACAAGCGGUGGAGCAUGUGGUUUAAUUCGAAGCUACGCGAAGAACCUUACCAGGUCUUGACAUACUAUGCAAAUCUAAGAGAUUAGACGUUCCCUUCGGGGACAUGGAUACAGGUGGUGCAUGGUUGUCGUCAGCUCGUGUCGUGAGAUGUUGGGUUAAGUCCCGCAACGAGCGCAACCCUUAUUAUCAGUUGCCAGCAUUAAGUUGGGCACUCUGGUGAGACUGCCGGUGACAAACCGGAGGAAGGUGGGGAUGACGUCAAAUCAUCAUGCCCCUUAUGACCUGGGCUACACACGUGCUACAAUGGAUGGUACAACGAGUUGCGAACUCGCGAGAGUAAGCUAAUCUCUUAAAGCCAUUCUCAGUUCGGAUUGUAGGCUGCAACUCGCCUACAUGAAGUCGGAAUCGCUAGUAAUCGCGGAUCAGCAUGCCGCGGUGAAUACGUUCCCGGGCCUUGUACACACCGCCCGUCACACCAUGAGAGUUUGUAACACCCAAAGUCGGUGGGGUAACCUUUUAGGAACC
rnacentral:rRNA from 1 species